rnacentral:rRNA from 1 species
CCUACGGGUGGCAGCAGUGAGGAAUAUUGGUCAAUGGACGAGAGUCUGAACCAGCCAAGUAGCGUGAAGGAUGACUGCCCUAUGGGUUGUAAACUUCUUUUAUAUGGGAAUAAAAUGUUCCACGUGUGGGUUUUUGUAUGUACCAUAUGAAUAAGGAUCGGCUAAUUCCGUGCCAGCAGCCGCGGUAAUACGGAGGAUCCGAGCGUUAUCCGGAUUUAUUGGGUUUAACGGGAGCGUAGGUGGGUUGUUAAGUCAGUUGUGAAAGUUUGCGGCUCAACCGUAAAAUUGCAGUUGAAACUGGCGGUCUUGAGUGCGGUAGAGGUGGGCGGAAUUCGUGGUGUAGCGGUGAAAUGCUUAGAUAUCACGAAGAACUCCGAUUGCGAAGGCAGCUCACUGGACUGCAACUGACACUGAGGCUCGAAAGUGUGGGUAUCGAACAGGAUUAGAUACCCGGGUAGUC